CCUACGGGAGGCUGCAGUGAGGAAUAUUGGUCAAUGGACGGAAGUCUGAACCAGCCAUGCCGCGUGCAGGAAGACGGCUCUAUGGGUUGUAAACUGCUUUUGUACAAGGGUAAACCUGAAUACGUGUAUUCAGCUGAAAGUACUGUACGAAUAAGGAUCGGCUAACUCCGUGCCAGCAGCCGCGGUAAUACGGAGGAUCCAAGCGUUCUCCGGAUUUAUUGGGUUUAAAGGGUGCGUAGGCGGAUUGAUAAGUUAGAGGUGAAAUGUCCGAGCUUAACUCGGGAACUGCCUCUAAUACUGGCGAUCUAGAGAGUAGAUGCGGUAGGCGGAAUGUAUGGUGUAGCGGUGAAAUGCUUAGAGAUCAUACAGAACACCGAUUGCGAAGGCAGCUUACCAAUCUAUAUCUGACGUUGAGGCACGAAAGCGUGGGGAGCAAACAGGAUUAGAUACCCGUGUAGUC
rnacentral:rRNA from 1 species